GACGAACGCUGGCGGCGUGCUUAACACAUGCAAGUCGAACGGAAAGGCCCUGCUUUUGUGGGGUGCUCGAGUGGCGAACGGGUGAGUAACACGUGAGUAACCUGCCCUUGACUUUGGGAUAACUUCAGGAAACUGGGGCUAAUACCGGAUAGGAGCUCCUGCUGCAUGGUGGGGGUUGGAAAGUUUCGGCGGUUGGGGAUGGACUCGCGGCUUAUCAGCUUGUUGGUGGGGUAGUGGCUUACCAAGGCUUUGACGGGUAGCCGGCCUGAGAGGGUGACCGGCCACAUUGGGACUGAGAUACGGCCCAGACUCCUACGGGAGGCAGCAGUGGGGAAUAUUGCACAAUGGGCGGAAGCCUGAUGCAGCAACGCCGCGUGCGGGAUGACGGCCUUCGGGUUGUAAACCGCUUUCGCCUGUGACGAAGCGUGAGUGACGGUAAUGGGUAAAGAAGCACCGGCUAACUACGUGCCAGCAGCCGCGGUGAUACGUAGGGCGCGAGCGUUGUCCGGAUUUAUUGGGCGUAAAGGGCUCGUAGGUGGUUGAUCGCGUCGGAAGUGUAAUCUUGGGGCUUAACCCUGAGCGUGCUUUCGAUACGGGUUGACUUGAGGGAGGUAGGGGAGAAUGGAAUUCCUGGUGGAGCGGUGGAAUGCGCAGAUAUCAGGAGGAACACCAGUGGCGAAGGCGGUUCUCUGGGCCUUUCCUGACGCUGAGGAGCGAAAGCGUGGGGAGCGAACAGGCUUAGAUACCCUGGUAGUCCACGCUGUAAACGGUGGGUACUAGGUGUGGGGUCCAUUCCACGGGUUCCGUGCCGUAGCUAACGCUUUAAGUACCCCGCCUGGGGAGUACGGCCGCAAGGCUAAAACUCAAAGGAAUUGACGGGGCCCCGCACAAGCGGCGGAGCAUGCGGAUUAAUUCGAUGCAACGCGUAGAACCUUACCUGGGUUUGACAUGGAUCGGGAGUGCUCAGAGAUGGGUGUGCCUCUUUUGGGGUCGGUUCACAGGUGGUGCAUGGCUGUCGUCAGCUCGUGUCGUGAGAUGUUGGGUUAAGUCCCGCAACGAGCGCAACCCUUGUUCACUGUUGCCAGCACGUUAUGGUGGGGACUCAGUGGAGACCGCCGGGGUCAACUCGGAGGAAGGUGGGGAUGACGUCAAGUCAUCAUGCCCCUUAUGUCCAGGGCUUCACGCAUGCUACAAUGGCUGGUACAGAGAGUGGCGAGCCUGUGAGGGUGAGCGAAUCUCGGAAAGCCGGUCUCAGUUCGGAUUGGGGUCUGCAACUCGACCUCAUGAAGUCGGAGUCGCUAGUAAUCGCAGAUCAGCAACGCUGCGGUGAAUACGUUCCCGGG
rnacentral:rRNA from 1 species